UAUCGACAGCCCAGUGGGAAUGUAUUGAUUAGGUCCCCUUUCAGGUUAUUUGUUAUGAUUUUUUCUUCUCAGUUUCAUUUACUGGGAAGACACAGGGGAAGAGAUUUCACCGGGAACAAUGACAGAGCUUGUCACAAAAUGUUCUCAAUGUUUCCAUUUGUUACUAUGGCAGUGACAAAGAGGGUUCCAAAUGAAAAGGCAGGCCUGCUGUGACAAAGCACAGCAGGACAACGGAAGAAAUUUUCUCCUGACCUGGGAAAUUAGGAAAUCAUACUCAGAGAUUAUAGAAUUGUCUCAAAAGGGCCUAGGUUUUCAAGAUCUGAUUGUCCUGGGAACUGCUUAGAAUACAAUUAAAAUGAGAAAAAUGGCUACUAGUUGAGCGACUACCAAUGAAGUUCUGCUGAGUUUCAGCCUGUCUUCUACUUUCUCUGCACUAAAAUCCACUGUUUGAAGCCUGGAUCAGCUGGAAAUAAAGUGAGGAAGCUGCCAAUGCUUACAAGGGUUGGGAAACUACAGCCAGUGAGCCCAAUCUGGCCAGUGGUCUCCUUUUUGUAUAUUUUGAAAGCAAAGAAAGCUUACACAGAUUUGUAGCUGUGAAGAGUAUGGAAGAGGAAAAUUAGCUUCAAAAAUAUUCUAAAAGUACCCAUG